rnacentral:lncRNA from 1 species
UUCAUCUAAAUCCAAUCAAGUUGUUCCUUUAAUAUCCACCUAGAAAGAGCCAUCACAGAUUUCUAAGUGAAAAAACUUGCAGAAAAGGCAAUGCAUCACUUCAAAAGAAAGAGAAGGCAUUCAAUUCAUCACAGAUAUCAAACAAUUUCUCUCGGAGUUCUUUCAUUCCUCUACCCCGUGUCAUUGCAUUGUCCAAAUUCUGGCCUACAAAAGGAGGAGAAUUGAGUACGAUCCCCUUGCUUUAAAAGAAAUAAUAAUAAUAAUUAGGGACCUAGAAUAUUUAUUUAUUUAUUUAAAAAAAAAACCUUUCUCCAUAAUUUCAUCAACUCACACUUCUCAAACCUGCGAACCUCAAGCAAUUGAAUACGAUCCUCUUGCUCCGUGUUCUCAGCAUAAAGUGAGCACAAAUAAAGACGACCGGCGCUCGGCAAAGCACGAACCAGCAUAACAAGUCGGCUAGAAAUCGUAAAAUCCACAAAUCAAAGUGACAUCGCGAAGUCGUACAUGAAGAUUGCCUAUGUCGAGAGCGACGUGAGAAGUCACCAUAGAGUAUUGUUUAAAAAGGGGCAAAAAUGAAAUUAUGUUUGAUAAAUGAGGGUGGGACGGGAAAUUUUGGCACUUUCAUUUAAUAAAGAUAAAAUAUUCCAAAAAUGCUACUUCUUAAGACACCUCCAAACUAGGGGUGAGCGGUUCCCGGUUCUGGUUCGGUUCCGUCCGAAACCUGGAACCUACCAUUGGGUACAGGUUCCUCAAUUUUUGGAACCUGAAACCUACCUUAUCACAUGUUCCAGGGUCGGUUCCAGGUUCCAACAUGUUCUUUUUUUUUUUUUUUCAUUUUCGUAGUGGGCGCUAAUAUCCGGAAGCCGAAAUAAUUCAAUAGUUGGCCCUCCAUUUUCAGUACCUACCAAUACACAACAAUGUGAAUCUUUUACAUCCGAAUAGACAACUAAAUUCAUAGUUUUCUAGAGAAAACAUUGUCUAAUGUAUAAUUUGGUGAUUCCUUAUGGUUAAUGUGUUUCAUAAUAAUAACUACGGGCAUGUUGUAUGAGCAUAGGCUCUUGGCAUUUCGCUCUUGAUUUGAGUGGGCAAGAAGUAGGUGCCACGUCGUUGCUAUGCGCUCUUUGCAGAAAGUUACGGCAACAUGCUCAGAUACACAAAGUACAAGCUCAAUAUAGCUUGCCAUGGCGUGCGGUCGGCAAAUGCAAGGACAAAACUAUGAGGAUUGCAUCAAAGAUCGGCAGGAUAUAUUUCAAGUCCAGAUGAUGUUAUGAAACCUCCUUUCCUGCACAAAGAGCGGUUUAUUGUUACCGCCCUAAACCUGCAUGAAGAGAGACUGACUUUUCAGUUGUCAUUCUGAAAAUAAUAAGUAGCAUCACUGAGAGAACAACUUUGAAAGCUAAAACUCAACAAGAGCAUGCGUAUGAUGCUUCAGUAAAUGUAUCUAUCCCGGGACAAGCAAACAGUUGCAAAUCCGUUCAUUGUGCCGUAAACUAGCAGAAGAAGUGCAAAAUCAUCGUUUUCUUAGUUUGAUGCAUGAGAUUUACCAAUUACAACAAAAUGACAGCUUGGACUGCAUGUACUGCAAACUGCCUCAACAGAAGGAUUCAGCUUGUCUACUGGGUUUAGCAUUUAACUAAAGAAUCAAUCGGCUGAUAAUUUCUUUCCCAUUUCAGGCCGGCAAAAGAAGAUGGUCACAUCAAUAUCAGCUAAAGAUUCUUCACCCCAAAUGGGCAGUGUUGAGUAGAGUGGCAAAUAAUAUAGAUACAGUGCCAAGUAUUUCAGGCACAUUGGCUAUUCCUUCAGUAGACAAUAACAUAUACAAUCCUAUGGAAAUAUAGCAGAUAAAUAACAAUUUGUUCCAACAAGAUCUAGAAUAUGGCUAAGCUGCACCCUACAAUACGAUUGCUAUCGUAUUUUGUCAUUGAACAGAAGAAAAAGAAUUCUCUUCCCUACAAAGACAACACCAAACUAACCGGUUAAGCAGCAGCAUGCCCAGUCUAGCAACAUAGUGCUGUUGCUCUGCAGCAGUUAGACCUACUCCACAUAAAUAAUGUCUCCAUCAGGAUCCUCGCCUUCCCAAUCGCUUUCAUGUUGAGGAUGAUCCGAUGCCUCAACCACGUCGGCGGUGGCGGUUCGGAGCAACGACGGCCCGGACGGCCGAGCGAGCAGCGGCAAGAGGUGGUGAUGGUGGCUUGGGGACGGCGGCGGUGGCUCACGGCGGCGAGGGGCGGCAUGGAUGGCGUGACAGCUCGUCGGGCUCAACGGCAAGACGGCUCGUCGGACGAGCGGUGGGUGGUGGGUGGUGGUGGUUCGGUGGCCAAGAGGUGGUGGUGAGUAGGGCGUGGGGCGGCGGUGUGGUGGUGGGUGAAGCAGCAACCAGCAAGAGGAAGGAACAAGAAGAAGAAGAGAAGAAGGGGUGGGGUUUCGGCCGAGAGAGGGGGAAAGAGAAGAGAAAGAGAGAGAAGAAAAGAAAAAAAGUAGGGGGGCAGGAAGUGACGUGAG